UGACCAGCGGCGUAGGAAGCGGGGGGGACGGGGGGGACAUGUCCCCCCCAAUAUUGAAGCCAGGUGGAUAUGUCCCCCCCAAAAAAUUGUACCGCAAAAUAUUGGAUUUUGACAUUUUUUUAACUAGCGUGCUUUUAUUUUGAAGGCGCAGCAUCGCGUUACGUCACGGUACUCCCCCUCCCCUCUCUGAACUGCUGAGUGAGCACUCAGAAGGGAGGGAAACAGCGACACAGAAGUCAGAAACUUGCGAAUGAGUACAAUGCCACCACCAACUAAAAGGCUGAAACAGCAGCAGGACUUACUCAGCUUUUUUAAAAAGAGUAACGUCAGUGUGAGUAACAGUCACACAACACAAGGGCAACACCUGUGUUGCCCUUGUGUUGAAAUUAGCCCGGUCUGGGCGUGCGUUUUACGAGGAUUUUUUAUUUUUUGCGUGGUUUUGCUUCGCCGAAAUGGACAGAUAUUAUACCUGCCGCGCUCCUGAUCGUUAGUUAAAACCACAGGGAGAGUUAAUUUUAAUUCUUAGCAGCGGCUAACCAACAAAUUAACUUCUGCACCUUUAUUUCCUCAAAUAAACUGCUGGCUCCUCUUUUUAGACUAUAAAUAGAUUAACACAACAUUGACAACUCUGUAGUUUUCUCUGUUCUGUACUGCAAACUGGAAUUAAAGGCGCCAUUUCUACCAAAGGUCUGGACAGACUGGCGACCUGUCUAGGGUGUACCCCACACCAGAACCUCCCGACCCCACUAAGGGACAAGGGUGUACAGAAAAUGGAAGGAUAGAUGGAUUUCUACCAAAGGUUUAGAAUGCGUUUUUGAACCAGAUGCUUCAAAGCGCCCUGUCCAUAAUUCUUCAACACACUGUCAGCUACCUGUCAGAAAGACUUUAGUUCAGAGUCCAUAAGAUAAUACUCUGAAAGGAUUUUAAUGGAUUUAUUUUAUUUGCCUCUGCGAUUAACUCUGCGCGUAAAGUCUGUAAUGUGACAAAUAAAAUGUUUUGUUUGAUUUAAAAUUGGCCAUGUUAGGCUCAAGAGCUGUACCUCAUUUCUGAAACCAUCUCAUAUGUUUAGGAGCAACAAUGCAGGGACAGCACAAAGGAGACAGGAAAAGGAGAGGAUAGUGCAACCGGGCUAGAGGCAGGAAGUCAGAGUGAGGGAGAGACAGGAGUGGAGCAACAGGUAAGAUAGAGUAACUCAUACGAGUAGAUACUUCAUGAGAGUCCACAAAAAAAGUUGAAAAUUUUAAUCUUUUGCUUGUAGUAAGUGUAGUUCAGGGGCAUUGAGUGACAUUGUAACUUUUCCUUCUAGGGAGUUCAGACUAGGGACACACAGCUGAGAGACUCUGAAGUCAGUGGACAGAGAACAGAGCCAAAUCAGCCACAUCCAAAAUUCAUAGACCCUCAAGCUCUAGCCAACAGAACUUUACAUUUCCAAGGAAAGUGGUACAAGGAAUUUCCCUGGCUACAUUAUGAUGCAGUGAAAAAUGGCAUUUUGUGUUUUUAUUGCAUGGCAAUUUACCAGGACAAACUCACACCAUUUGGUGCAAAAUCCGAACCCGCCUUUAUCACUUCUGGAUUUAAAAAUUGGAAAUUUGUACAUAAAGAUAAACUUGAUUUACUGGACAAGAAGUCAGUUUGCAAGCAAUUUGUGGCUGCAAAUGAAAGGCGGAAAAAACAUUUUGGCUCUUUUGCCUAAGCCAGUGUUUGCCAUCCUUUUAUGUUUCCGGCACAUUUUUGGCGAAUUAUAAAUGCAUGGCUGUAAAGUGCAAUUGUUCAGAAGCACAGAGGUGUUGAUCUCUACCUAGGGUUAUGUGGCCUAUAAUCUCUGUGCUAACUGCUUUUCCAACAGUUAAAGCACACUGUAGUCAGUGAGUUAAAAAGCUUGUCUAUUAAAUGUGUAUUUAUUGUUGGUAAAUAUUUCUUCAUUUUUGAUUUGGUUUAAUUAGUCAUACAGUUCGACAAACUGAAUAAGCAUAUUUUGAUUGAUUUUCUUUUCUUCUUUUACUUAAUGUUAAAAGUGUGAAUAAUUUGUUCACUACAUUGUCUGUGAGGGCUCUUUCAUCUCAGAAUUUUGUUUAAUCAAAGAGAUGGUUCUAUGGUCAGUCAACCUAUAUAAAUUCAUUUUUGACCAUUAUUGCAAGUUUGACAAAAUAAAACAUAUCAAACUUUGCACUUGUGUGGCCUACUGAAUUGUUUUUAAUCCAACUGAAAUAUUUGAUUUUCUAGUGUGUAUGCGGACACUAAAUAUGCCAAGGGCUGAAGCCCUUGAAAGACAUCUCCCUUUGCUUAAUAAAAGACUCCAGUCA